AUUGAACGCUGGCGGCAGGCCUAACACAUGCAAGUCGAACGAGUGGCGGACGGGUGAGUAAUGUCUGGGAAACUGCCCGAUGGAGGGGGAUAACUACUGGAAACGGUAGCUAAUACCGCAUACCAUCGGAUGUGCCCCGGUGGGAUUAGCUAGUAGGUGGGGUAACGGCUCACCUAGGCUACGAUCCCUAGCUUGUCUGAGAGGAUGACCAGCCAAACUGGAACUGAGACACGGUCCGUACGACUACGGUAGGCAGCAGUGGGGAAUAUUGCACAAGGGGCGCAAGCCUGAUGCAGCCAGGCCGCGUGUAUGAAUAAGGCCUUCGGGUUGUAAAGUACUUUCAGCGAGGAGGCGUUACUCGCAGAAGAAGCACCGGCUAACUCCGUGCCAGCAGCCGCGGUAAUAC
rnacentral:rRNA from 1 species